UCUGUUCAUCUCCGUCCCGAACCUCUGCACGCACAGAGAUCGGGAGAGCAGGCCUCCGGAACCCGACGCCCUGCAUCGAGACACCUGCUCGGGUGUGCGGGCAAUCAGGUUUUUGGGAAGCAUCUUCCGCAACUGCUCGCCGACGAGAUCGUCUUCUUCCACUCCUGCGGAUCAGGAUCCGGCGAGAUCGUCUUCUUCCAUUUCUGGUGGACGUUCGAGACUGCGACUACUUCGUCUUCUUCCUUGUGGACGUUCGCGGGACUGCACUGCAAACAUCUACCUGCAUCGACUGAGGUCCAUUACUUCAAGCAACACACUAUGUUGACUAGUGUGAAUGGAGCCGCCGGUGCCUUCGGCACUGGUCCCUCCUCGGGGUACAAUCCUAAUCGAUUGUCUUUUAUUUUCAGUAUGUCUGUAGUAAUAUUUGCAAUGUUUAUCUCUAAUAUGAGUAGUGAUAAAAUUGCACACGUGUAUAUAUAUGCCACC
rnacentral:lncRNA from 1 species